rnacentral:rRNA from 1 species
GCUUAACACAUGCAAGUCGAGGGGCAGCAUGGUCUUAUCUUGCUAAGGCCGAUGGCGACCGGCGCACGGGUGAGUAACACGUAUCCAACCUGCCGUCUACUCUUGGACAGCCUUCUGAAAGGAAGAUUAAUACAAGAUGGCAUCAUGAGUCCGCAUGUUCACAUGAUUAAAGGUAUUCCGGUAGACGAUGGGGAUGCGUUCCAUUAGAUAGUAGGCGGGGUAACGGCCCACCUAGUCUUCGAUGGAUAGGGGUUCUGAGAGGAAGGUCCCCCACAUUGGAACUGAGACACGGUCCAAACUCCUACGGGAGGCAGCAGUGAGGAAUAUUGGUCAAUGGGCGAGAGCCUGAACCAGCCAAGUAGCGUGAAGGAUGACUGCCCUAUGGGUUGUAAACUUCUUUUAUAAAGGAAUAAAGUCGGGUAUGGAUACCCGUUUGCAUGUACUUUAUGAAUAAGGAUCGGCUAACUCCGUGCCAGCAGCCGCGGUAAUACGGAGGAUCCGAGCGUUAUCCGGAUUUAUUGGGUUUAAAGGGAGCGUAGAUGGAUGUUUAAGUCAGUUGUGAAAGUUUGCGGCUCAACCGUAAAAUUGCAGUUGAUACUGGAUAUCUUGAGUGCAGUUGAGGCAGGCGGAAUUCGUGGUGUAGCGGCGAAAUGCUUAGAUAUCACGAAGAACUCCGAUUGCGAAGGCAGCCUGCUAAGCUGCAACUGACAUUGAGGCUCGAAAGUGUGGGUAUCAAACAGGAUUAGAUACCCUGGUAGUCCACACGGUAAACGAUGAAUACUCGCUGUUUGCGAUAUACAGCAAGCGGCCAAGCGAAAGCGUUAAGUAUUCCACCUGGGGAGUACGCCGGCAACGGUGAAACUCAAAGGAAUUGACGGGGGCCCGCACAAGCGGAGGAACAUGUGGUUUAAUUCGAUGAUACGCGAGGAACCUUACCCGGGCUUAAAUUGCAGAUGAAUUACGGUGAAAGCCGUAAGCCGCAAGGCAUCUGUGAAGGUGCUGCAUGGUUGUCGUCAGCUCGUGCCGUGAGGUGUCGGCUUAAGUGCCAUAACGAGCGCAACCCUUGUUGUCAGUUACUAACAGGUUCCGCUGAGGACUCUGACAAGACUGCCAUCGUAAGAUGUGAGGAAGGUGGGGAUGACGUCAAAUCAGCACGGCCCUUACGUCCGGGGCUACACACGUGUUACAAUGGGGGGUACAGAGGGCCGCUACCACGCGAGUGGAUGCCAAUCCCAAAAACCUCUCUCAGUUCGGACUGGAGUCUGCAACCCGACUCCACGAAGCUGGAUUCGCUAGUAAUCGCGCAUCAGCCACGGCGCGGUGAAUACGUUCCCGGGCCUUGUACACACCGCCCGUCAAGCCAUGGGAGCCGGGGGUACCUGAAGUGCGUAACCGCGAGGAGCGCCCUAGGGUAAAACUGGUGACUGG